rnacentral:rRNA from 1 species
AACGAACGCUGGCGGCAUGCCUAACACAUGCAAGUCGAACGGGAUCCUGGCUUCGGUCAGGUGAGAGUGGCGGACGGGUGAGUAACGCGUGGGAACCUGCCCAGUGGUGGGGGAUAACUGCGGGAAACUGCAGCUAAUACCGCAUGAGCCCGAGAGGGGAAAGAUUUAUCGCCAUUGGAGGGGCCCGCGUUCGAUUAGGUAGUUGGUGAGGUAACGGCUCACCAAGCCGACGAUCGAUAGCUGGUCUGAGAGGAUGAUCAGCCACACUGGGACUGAGAUACGGCCCAGACUCCUACGGGAGGCAGCAGUGGGGAAUAUUGGACAAUGGGGCGAAAGCCUGAUCCAGCAAUGCCGCGUGAGUGAUGAAGGCCUUAGGGUUGUAAAGCUCUUUUACCCGGGAUGAUAAUGACAGUACCGGGAGAAUAAGCCCCGGGCUAACUCCGUGCCAGCAGCCGCGGUAAU